rnacentral:rRNA from 1 species
UACGUAGGGUGCAGGCGUUAAUCGGAAUUACUGGGCGUAAAGCGUGCGCAGACGGUUGCGUAAGUCAGAUGUGAAAGCCCCGGGCUCAACCUGGGAAUUGCAUUUGUGACUGCACGGCUAGAGUGCGGCAGAGGGGGAUGGAAUUCCGCGUGUAGCAGUGAAAUGCGUAGAUAUGCGGAGGAACACCGAUGGCGAAGGCAAUCCCCUGGGCCUGCACUGACGCUCAUGCACGAAAGCGUGGGGAGCAAACAGG